UUAACUAUUAUAUAGUACUCAGACGACACAUAAACAGGUUUUGGUUAGGUCUCUGGCGGGCACUUACAGGCCGGAGCCUGUAGCAAGAUGCGUCCCGCCAAAGCAACAAGAGAAUAAAAUAUCAAGGGUGGGAGAUCUACCCGUAAGGGCAAGAACUCUGUAAUGAUCCUUCCGCAGGUUCACCUACGGAAA
rnacentral:misc_RNA from 1 species